rnacentral:rRNA from 1 species
GACGAACGCUGGCGGCGUGCUUAACACAUGCAAGUCGAACGAAGUGGCGAACGGGUGAGUAACGCGUAAUCCACCUGCCCUUCAGAGGGGGACAACAGUUGGAAACGACUGCUAAUACCGCAUACUGAAGGAGGGGAUUGCGUUUGAUUAGCUAGUUUGAGGGGUAACGGACGACCAAGGCGAUGAUCAGUAGCCGGUCUGAGAGGAUGAACAGUCACAUUGGAACUGAGACACGGUGCAAACUCCUACGGGAGGCAGCAGUAGGGAAUAUUGCGCAAGGGGGGAAACCCUGACGCAGCAACGCCGCGUGGAGUAUGACACUUUUCGGAGCGUAAACUCAGGUUGUUAGGGAAGCGGUACCUAACGAAUAAGCACCGGCUAACUCCGUGCCAGCAGCCGCGGUAAUAC